rnacentral:rRNA from 1 species
AUGGGAGCGACCUUCUCGUCCGUUCUCAGGGCUCGGAGGGCCGGAGCAGAAGAAGAUGAAGCCCCCUCGGCGGCACCCGAUCGCGAGCAGAGGACGUCGUGGCCGGAGCUGGUGGACUGCGGCGCCAUCGACGCGGCGUCCCUGAUCUUGAAAGACAGGCCCGAGGUCUGCGUCUACUUCUACGACUACGGGAAGGACGCGCCGCCGACUGGGUUCGACCCCAAGCGCGUCGUCAUCUUCCGCAACUCCGGCAACCGCGUCGUCAAGGCCCCAACACUCGGGUAG